rnacentral:lncRNA from 1 species
CACACAUUUUAUUUGAAAGCAUUGAAUAAGUAGCUCAGGCUCUCGCUCAGACUUAAGGGGCUGAUGAACUACGCCCCCGCCGCAACCAGCUUUCUCUGCACCCCAAUCCAGCCCCGCUCCAGACGACGGGCUUAGAUUCUGCUAUCACGUAGGCAGUGAGCCUGGGGAAGAUGCGAUGCCUCCCUUGAAACCAUCAAGACAGAUAUCCGCUGGUUUUAGGGUGUCCCCCAAGGCAAGCAUCUGGGACGCCUCCGGCAUAUGCUCGCCCUCGGGGCCCGACCAGGAGGCUCCAGCUUUGCAAGGCGCCACCGCCCAGAGCUCAGGUCUGGGUUGGAAGGGUGGGCGGCACCGCCUCAGGGUACGUUCUCCCGACUUCGGAGAGAAAGAAAGGAAGAAAUGCACCCUAGGAAAAGGGGCUUCGACUUUUUGUGCCUGUGCUUUCAUGGAAGUCACCAGCUCUCGGCUGCUUAAGAUGCUACUCAGAAGCGCGCCCAGCCAGGCUGUGGCCAUCCGCGCCAAGUCCUCGUGUCCUGGUCGACGAGCACUUUGGGUAGCACCGCGACACACAAUAGCCACCACGGUUAGGAGAUAUGCUCGCUAUGCUUACCUGUUGGCAAAAAUAAAAUGCAAAAUAAAAAUUUAAAUUUGGAAACUAACACAUGGUGACAUCUUCUAGAACCACAGCUCUUUCUUCAGACAAAAGCCAAUUUUACCAUCCCGCAAACCCAUUGAGCCCUGGAAGUUCCGUUCGCGGCACUUUGGCGCCCUCUGGCUUUAUCAGGGUGGCUUGCUUGUUCUGCUUCGUCCUGAAAGAAUAGCGGAGGGGGGGGGGAAUGGAAAUGUAUGUUGCCUUCUUGGUUGGAUCUCCCCUCAUGAGUGAAGCACAGAUUUGGGAUGAGCUUGCCCUCCACGUCCGGAAUAACGAAACACAACUACAUUUAGGGAGACGAAUGCCAAAGUUUAAAAAUGGAACUGAAUCCUCGCUGUUCUCCAUGAAGAUAUAGCCAAAGAAAUGGAGCAUCCUGAGGUUUGAGCAGACAGGCCUAGCUGUUAGAGAAACCCUAGCUUAGCCUCUGCUUUCUAAAUCUGUAGCUUUGUGCAAGCUCCUUCUGUUGUGUGAUACAACUUUCCUAGGGAGGCAUGUGUAUGCACCCUAGAUAGGGGUCCUGUACUGGCCGGUUUUGUAUGUUAACUUGACACAAGCUGGAGUUGUCACAGAGAAAGGAGCCUCCCUUGAGGAAAUGACCCCAAGAGAUCCAGCUGUAAAACAUUUUCUUAAUUAGUGAUCAAAGGGGAAGGGUGGUACCAUCCCUGGACUGGGAGUUCUGGGUUCUAUAAGAAAACAAACUGAGCAAGCCAGGGGAAGCAAUCCAGUAAGCAGCCCCCCUCCAUGGCCUCUGCAUCAGCUCCUGCCUCCAAGUUCCUGCCCUGUGUGAGUUUCUGUCCUGAUUUCCUUUGGUGAUGAACAGCAGUAUGGAAGUGUAAGCUGAAUAAACCUUUUCCUCCUCAAUUUGCUUCUUGGUCAUGAUGGUUUGUGCAGGAAUAGAAACCCUGACUAAGACAGGUCCCAUGAAAGACCAUCAAAGUCCAAGGUGGUGAUCCAAUGAUUUUUAUUGGGGUUGCUUACAAGAGUACAGGUGAGAGCUGACUUACAGGAGUAGAAACGAAAUCAAAGACAGUUGCAUCACCAAAGCCCACCCAGCAUGGGUGAUAGUUUACAGAGCUGGGAAUCUAGAGCCCACUGUGCAGCCUGUAAGAAGCUCAAAGAGGUUGCAGAGUAUCCUUUCCAAGAUACUCUGGUCUAAACCACUUCCAGGAAGCUCGGUUGGUUUUUGUUUCUCCCAAGCAGUAGGUCUGGUCUCAAGAGUCUUAGCAAGCUUGACUUUUCUGAGUCUUCUUUGCAGUUUACUUUAGUUAGCCAGAGAGGGAAUCUCGAUUUUGAGUGCUUACUCAGACAGGGGGCCUGGUGGGUCUGGUCAGUUUCUGUAACUUCCUGAAGCUAGUUUGAGUUGUUCACCUUUCUCCAUACAGAGCUUCCCUGCAGGAUGCAAUGUUUGGAUCUCAGAGGAAACUGUUCCACAACACCGUCAUCUUCCUUAGACUUCAGCUUUUAAUCUGGAGAAGGCUGUUUCCUACUACGUGAGAUUAUUCUAAAUGUUACUUUAAAAAAAAAUGUGGAAAACACUUAACCAGUUCAUAAAAUAGACUCAAUAAGUGUGUUUAAAAGAAGCUAAUUUAAUAGCAUCACUAGUAGAGCAUUAAGGAGAGGAUUUAGCAAAACUUAAGUCCCAGGCCAAGCAGACCUCAAGCCACCAAUAGCCAUCACCGAAAACUAGCAGUUCAUAUCAGUGUGCUUGCUGGAGGAUGUAUCUCUCAGCUUCCUGGCAGCUGAUAAAGAAAAUGUUAUAGACUAUUUAACUUUCAUUAUUUAAUUAAAUAACAGGCCACAGUGUGACAGGUGAAGGGACCAGAAUCCAGCACAAAAUACUUCAAGACCAAGUUCUCAGCACAAAUGAGUUAUGUCUCCAGAGAGACAAAAGACAUGGAAUAAAAGACAAAGACAAAAGACAGAGGACGAGGGAAAGCAGAGGGGAAGAAGGGAGAGGAGGGAGGGGUGUUAGUCCCAGAGGGGGACAAAGGACUACCUCUGGAUAGAGAGGAGACACAGUGGCCCAUAGGCAGAUGACAGUUUAUAAAGGUAAAAAGGGAAACCUCAUGUUAGGAUGAGAUAUUUUAAUCGGGCAUAUGAAUUAAGGUGGCUAAAAGGGGAAUUUUGAUUUCUGGGCUUCAGUACUUUGAUAGCUGGACCUUGGUAGUCAGCCUCAGGGGGAGAAAGUGGCCACAUAAGGGAAUAGACCUUGGUGGCUAGCUUUAAGAAUGUAACCUAGAGGUUUUUAAACAAGGCAGAAGUGGGGGAGAAGGGCAAGGCCUGCCAGAGCCACGUUUGCUGUGUUCGGAGUGGCUAGGGUUCCUUCAACAAGAAGGAGAGAUCAUCCUAGCAACCAGCUCUGAGUGGGCCCAGUUAAUACAACCUUUAAUGUAAGGGAUAUGUAAAAGAAAAUUAAUUUCA